GGCGCACGGGUGCGUAACGGCGUAUGCAACCUACCUAUUACAGGGGGAUAGCCUCCGGAAACCGAAAUUAAUACCCCAUGGCUUCUGAACCAGCAUUGUGUCGGUGAUUAAAGUCUUCGCGGUAAAAGAUGGGCAUGCGUAGGAUUAGCUAGUUGGCGGGGUAACGGCCCACCAAGGCUACGAUCCUUAGGGGUUCUGAGAGGAAGGUCCCCCACACUGGCACUGAGAUACGGGCCAGACUCCUACGGGAGGCAGCAGUAGGGAAUAUUGGGCAAUGGGCGAGAGCCUGACCCAGCCAUGCCGCGUGCAGGAAGACGGCGUUCUGCGUUGUAAACUGCUUUUAUACGGGAAGAAAAAGCCACUGCGGUGGAAAUUGCCGGUACCGUAUGAAUAAGCACCGGCUAACUCCGUGCCAGCAGCCGCGGUAAUACGGAGGGUGCAAGCGUUGUCCGGAUUUAUUGGGUUUAAAGGGUGCGUAGGCGGCCGAUUAAGUCAGCGGUGAAAGUUUAGGGCUCAACCCUGAAAUUGCCAUUCUUACUGGUUGGCUUGAGUGUUGAUGGGGUACUUGGAAUUGAUGGUGUAGCGGUGAAAUGCAUAGAUACCAUCAGGAACACCGAUAGCGAAGGCAUGGUACUUAUCAACAACUGACGCUGAGGCACGAAAGCGUGGGUAGCGAACAGGAUUAGAUACCCUGGUAGUCCACGCCGUAAACGAUGAUUACUCGCUGUUAUG
rnacentral:rRNA from 1 species